UACGUAGGGCGCAAGCGUUGUCCGGAAUUAUUGGGCGUAAAGAGCUCGUAGGCGGCUUGUCACGUCGGUUGUGAAAGCCCGGGGGCUUAACCCCGGGUCUGCAGUCGAUACGGGGCAGGCUAGAGUGUGGUAGGGGAGAUCGGAAUUCCUGGUGUAGCGGUGAAAUGCGCAGAUAUCAGGAGGAACACCGGAGUGGCAAGGCGGUCUCUGGGCCUAACUUGACGCUGAGGAGCGAAAGCAUGGG
rnacentral:rRNA from 1 species